GCAAAUAUGGUUGAGUGGUUAAGGCGACUAACUCGAAAUCAGUUUCCAUCUUGGAGCGUAGGUUCGAAUCCUACUAUCUGCG
rnacentral:tRNA from 1 species